GGCUGAGAGAUCAGCUGUUCCCUUCGGGGACAGAAUGACAGGUGGUGCAUGGUUGUCGUCAGCUCGUGUCGUGAGAUGUUGGGUUAAGUCCCGCAACGAGCGCAACCCUUAUGAUCAGUUGCCAGCAUUCAGUUGGGCACUCUGGUCAGACUGCCGGUGACAAACCGGAGGAAGGCGGGGAUGACGUCAAAUCAUCAUGCCCCUUAUGACCUGGGCUACACACGUGCUACAAUGGGUGGUACAACGAGCAGCGAGACCGCGAGGUCAAGCGAAUCUCUAAAAACCAUCCUCAGUUCGGAUUGCAGGCUGCAACUCGCCUGCAUGAAGCUGGAAUCGCUAGUAAUCGCGGAUCAGCAUGCCGCGGUGAAUACGUUCCCGGGUCUUGUACACACCGA
rnacentral:rRNA from 1 species